rnacentral:rRNA from 1 species
UCUGUAGGUGGCACUUCAAGUCUGCUGUCAAAGACCGAAGCUUAACUUCGGAAAGGCGGUGGAAACUGAAGAGCUAGAGUAAAGCAGGGGUAGAGGGAAUUCCCAGUGUAGCGGUGAAAUGCGUAGAGAUUGGGAAGAACACCAGUGGCGAAGGCGCUCUACUGGGCUAAAACUGACACUGAGAGACGAAAGCUAGGGUAGCGAAAG